CCUACGGGGUGCACCAGUGGGGAAUAUUGCACAAUGGGCGAAAGCCUGAUGGAGCAACGCCGCGUGAAGGGUGAAGGCCUUAGGGUUGUAAACUUCUUUUAUAAGUGAAGAAUAUGACGGUAACUUAUGAAUAAGCACCGGCUAACUACGUGCCAGCAGCCGCGGUCAUACGUAGGGUGCAAGCAUUAUCCGGAGUGACUGGGCGUAAAGAGUUGCGUAGGUGGUUUGUUAAGUAGAUAGUGAAAUCUGGCGGCUCAACCGUACAGGCUAUUAUCUAAACUGGCAGACUCGAGAAUGGUAGAGGUAACUGGAAUUCCUUGUGUAGGAGUGAAAUCCGUAGAUAUAAGAAGGAACACCAAUGGCGUAGGCAGGUUACUGGACCAUUUCUGACACUGAGGCACGAAAGCGUGGGGAGCGAACGGGAUUAGAUACCCGUGUAGUC
rnacentral:rRNA from 1 species